GUCUUAGGCCUUUCAUCUGGAUCUUGGAGGCUGAUCAGAGUUUGGAGGUCAGGAAAAGGAGGAGCAACAGGCCAAGAGAACACAAAAUGACUGGUUGCAUUGUGACCUCCCAGGAACAGAACCAAGAGCCUGUGUGGACUCUUCCCCUCUAUUCAAAGCGGCAAAAAACCCAAAAGAUUAGCUGCAUGGUGGGUCAAGUUAAGAUUCUGGGUAAAUAAUGACUGAGUUUUGGCAACCCAAACAGCUGUGGCAUUUCACAGAAAUGGGAUUUCAAGAUAUGUGAGUUCUAUUUUUGGUUUUCUAAUUUACCCUCUGUCUCUGAAG